UAUGAUUGGCAUAUUUUAAAUGAUGUGGAAGUUUAGCAGGAGAGAGAAGAAGCCAUGUGCAUCUCACGUAAGAAGAAGCCAACUUUAAAUCCCUAAAUUGAUUUCCCAAUUCCCAAAUUGAAAGCUUCAAAUCCUAGCUGUAGGGGGAUGCAAACGAACUCAUGGUGGCCAUGAUGAAGAGAUGAAUUCGCAUGGAAGAACCGAUGAGAGGCGUCGUAGAAGGCAAGAGGAGAACGAAGGUAGCGAGAUUUCUUCUACUUCUACUGGUAAUGGAAGGAGGAGAUGAAGUUUGAAAUUUUGUGACUGUUGUGUUGAAACUCAUCUCUCGACAUAAAAAACUGGUGUGAACCCUGGAAGGAGGUUCUAUGGUUGCGGAGCAUGGAAGGAAAGUAUGUGACUUCUUUGAAUGGUAUGAUGAGAUUGGGGGUGAAAGCCAAAAGCUACUGAUCGUCGCGUUGAGAAGGAGCAUUGAAGCUAUAAAAAAAAUAAUUCAGAUCCUAGCUUGUUGUUUGUUCAUUGUCAUGAUGUUUGGGGGAAAGUAAUGAUGUUUGUACUUAAAAAAAUGUUUGUACUUGGUUGUGUAUGAUGAAAAUGUUAUGAUGUUAUGCAAUAAAUGAAAAUGUUGUAGUUGAAAGUAA